AUCCAGCUGACGAAUCCCAAAUGGGACGAAACGCGCGUUUUGGAU
rnacentral:hammerhead_ribozyme from 1 species